GGCGAACGGGUGAGUAAUACAUCGGAACGUGCCCAGUCGUGGGGGAUAACGUAGCGAAAGCUACGCUAAUACCGCAUACGAUCUACGGAUGAAAGCGGGGGAUCGCAAGACCUCGCGCGAUUGGAGCGGCCGAUGGCAGUUUAGGUAGUUGGUGGGGUAAAGGCUCACCAAGCCGACGAUCUGUAGCUGGUCUGAGAGGACGACCAGCCACACUGGGACUGAGACACGGCCCAGACUCCUACGGGAGGCAGCAGUGGGGAAUUUUGGACAAUGGGCGCAAGCCUGAUCCAGCCAUUCCGCGUGCAGGAUGAAGGCCCUCGGGUUGUAAACUGCUUUUGUACAGAACGAAAAGGCUCUGGUUAAUACCUAGGGCUCAUGACGGUACUGUAAGAAUAAGCACCGGCUAACUACGUGCCAGCAGCCGCGGUAAUACGUAGGGUGCAAGCGUUAAUCGGAAUUACUGGGCGUAAAGCGUGCGCAGGCGGUGAUGUAAGACAGAGGUGAAAUCCCCGGGCUCAACCUGGGAACUGCCUUUGUGACUGCAUCGCUGGAGUACGGCAGAGGGGGAUGGAAUUCCGCGUGUAGCAGUGAAAUGCGUAGAUAUGCGGAGGAACACCGAUGGCGAAGGCAAUCCCCUGGGCCUGUACUGACGCUCAUGCACGAAAGCGUGGGGAGCAAACAGGAUU
rnacentral:rRNA from 1 species